rnacentral:rRNA from 1 species
GUUCGUGAAAUCUCACGGCUUAACUGUGAGCGUGCGGGCGAUACGGGCAGACUUGAGUACUGCAGGGGAGACUGGAAUUCCUGGUGUAGCGGUGGAAUGCGCAGAUAUCAGGAGGAACACCGGUGGCGAAGGCGGGUCUCUGGGCAGUAACUGACGCUGAGGAGCGAAAGCGUGGGGAGCGAACAGGAUUAGAUACCCUGGUAGUCCACGCCGUAAACGGCGGGUACUAGGUGUGGGUUUCCUUCCUUGGGAUCCGUGCCGUAGCUAACGCAUUAAGUACCCCGCCUGGGGAGUACGGCCGCAAGGCUCAAACUCAAAGAAAUUGACGGGGGCCCACACAAGCGGCGGAGCAUGUGGAUUAAUUCGAUGCAACGCGAAGAACCUUACCUGGGUUUGACAUGCACAGGACGCCGGCAGAGAUGUCGGUUCCCUUGUGGCCUGUGUGCAGGUGGUGCAUGGCUGUCGUCAGCUCGUGUCGUGAGAUGUUGGGUUAAGUCCCGCAACGAGCGCAACCCUUGUCUCAUGUUGCCAGCGGGUAAUGCCGGGGACUCGUGAGAGACUGCCGGGGUCAACUCGGAGGAAGGUGGGGAUGACGUCAAGUCAUCAUGCCCCUUAUGUCCAGGG